rnacentral:misc_RNA from 1 species
GAUAGAUGGAAUGUGAGUGUCCACACAGAUUGUCUGAUGAAAUAGCGCGUGAAGCCAAUCUAAGAUCGACUGAAGAGCUUGAAGUCCCCUUCGUCUAGAGGCCUAGGGCAUCGCCCUUUCACGGCGGUAACAGGGGUUAAAAUCCCCAAGGGGACUCCACUUUAGUGAUUUAGAAAGGCUGUGCAUCA